rnacentral:rRNA from 1 species
AGUGAACGCUGGCGGUAGGCCUAACACAUGCAAGUCGAACGAGUUGCGGACGGGUGAGGAAUACAUCGGAAUCUACUCUGUCGUGGGGGAUACCGUAGGGAAACUUACGCUAAUACAGCAUACGCUUGCAUGAGCCGCUGUCGGAUUAGCUAGUUGGCGGGGUACAGGCCCACCAAGGCGACGAUCCGUAGCUGGGCUGAGAGGAUGAUCAGCCAAACUGGAACUGAGACACGGUCCAGACUCCUACGGGAGGCAGCAGUGGGGAAGAUUGGACAAUGGGCGCAAGCCUGAUCCAGCCAUACCGCGUGGGUGAAGAAGGCCUUCGGGUUGUAAAGCCCUGUUGUUGGGAAAGCGGUACCCAAAGAAUAAGCACCGGCUAACUUCGUGCCAGCAGCCGCGGUAAUUC